GCGUAAGCGCACGCAGGGCGGUCUGUCAAGUCGGAUGUGAAAUCCCCGGGCUCAACCUGGGAACUGCAUUCGAAACUGGCAGGCUAGAGUCUUGUAGAGGGGGGUAGAAUUCCAGGUGUAGCGGUGAAAUGCGUAGAGAUCUGGAGGAAUACCGGUGGCGAAGGCGGCCCCCUGGACAAAGACUGACGCUCAGGUGCGAAAGCGUGGGGAGCAAACAGGAUUAGAUACCCUGGUAGUCCACGCCGUAAACGAUGUCGACUUGGAGGUUGUGCCCUUGAGGCGUGGCUUCCGGAGCUAACGCGUUAAGUCGACCGCCUGGGGAGUACGGCCGCAAGGUUAAAACUCAAAUGAAUUGACGGGGGCCCGCACAAGCGGUGGAGCAUGUGGUUUAAUUCGAUGCAACGCGAAGAACCUUACCUACUCUUGACAUCCAGAGAACUUAGCAGAGAUGCUUUGGUGCCUUCGGGAACUCUGAGACAGGUGCUGCAUGGCUGUCGUCAGCUCGUGUUGUGAAAUGUUGGGUUAAGUCCCGCAACGAGCGCAACCCUUAUCCUUUGUUGCCAGCGGUUAGGCCGGGAACUCACAGGAGACUGCCAGUGAUAAACUGGAGGAA
rnacentral:rRNA from 1 species